UGUCAUUCACAGCCGGGCCCUACAGGAGCGACUGGCAUUUCCUGCAAGGAGAAGUGGAAAAAAGUAGACCAAGGUUUCGUCGUGAAUCGAAGGCUUAUUGUCUGGGGCUUUUGGACCAUCUUCUGCGGUUGUGCUGCUUAUUUGUGUACGGUGAAGUGCAUUAUCCAUCUCUGAUUACCGCGGUGUCUACAAGCUUAAGGAGACAAUUUGUUCCUACUUGACAAGAUUUAAGCCAGUGCCGCAGAAAGUCAUGUCGACUAAAACGUUCAUGCUGGUGGUGUGCUUGGCGUACACGUUGCUGCUUGUAACAGCUCUUCCGUUGGACUACCCAUCAGACGAGAACAACGCCUUCUUACGGAGACUACGUUCUAAUAAGAGUCCCUACUGUACGUACGGCGGGCUUACGUGCAUUUGUGACAAGAAUAACAAACCGAAAAGCUGUGGGCUUGUUUACUACGACCCAAGGUGGAACAUUUAAUGUCACUAUCUUCAGCGGGGAAUGGUGCAGCGUACAUUGGUCAAUCAGGGACACCAAUUUCUACUCUUCGCCCUUUCGUUCGACUUCGUUUAGGGGGUACAAGGAAAGUCUUGAUGGUAAAAAGAGUUUGACGACAUAACAUUUGAGAAAAUAUACGACGAUGUAUAUGGAACACUCCUUUGUCGCAGAAGAGCAAUCCAGGGUCUGUCCUCUCACCUUCUGAAAAAAAAAAUCUGUAAAAGUUAGUCAUCCUAACUUUAGACUGUUGUACGGUAAAUCAGAUGGGGCAACACAUAACGAACGGACACGUUUUUAAUUCCUUCCGUUCCUGCGCAGGGGUGACUGCUCUGUCUCCCUCUCUCAUUUAAGAUGAAGCUACUUGGAGUAUGAUCCGCUCAACAGUAAUGAACAACUAAUGUAUGAAGCACGCUCCCAUUUCCAAAGAUUAUAAGGACCAGACGAUCUGUAGUAAAAUUCACCUCGACUUUAGAGUGAAAACGUACGAAGAGGAACUAUUUUAUCUGAAUUUCUGUGGCCACUAAUUUGGGUCAGAUUAGGUGCAUUUUCACUGACACAGAAUAAGUCUCUAAUCUAUGAAAUCCGGAGCGCAGGUACAUUGUUAACAUGAAGAUACGACAGCACAAAUAGUGGAUACGACCGCCUCGACCCCCGCUGUGUAUCUAUACCUGCAAAUUAUGUGCCAUUCCGGAAACAAAUCUGCACUGACACCCCCCCCCUGAGCAUGCUGUCUAGUCCAAUGUUCAUUGCUAAUUGGAAAAGGAUGUGAUUACAACAGUGCACGGUUUUUCCAUUAUUAUCAAAACUCAGGUGUGCCGGUACAGUAUCAAAUGGAAUAAAUUAAUCAAACAGAUCCUUGAAGAUUUCAGAACUGCGGUGUUAAUAGUAUAUAUCUCCGAUCAAUCCUGUCCUUGUGAAUCUGCAAGCCUAAAUAAACUAACAAGUUUGUCAUGUGCUUUCCCCUAAACUCCCCCUCAGCAAGUCAUUAGUUCGUUAGAAAACUGCUUAGAGAUGUAUUUUAUUUGUGCAUUUUAUUUGUGUAUUAAAGCUACAUGUAUUUAUGUUUAGUGUUCCACCGUCAACAAAGUUUUAAAACUCCGCCAACUUCUGAAACACAUGAAAACAUUUUUCCAUCUGGGCACCGAACCAUUUUAUUAACCUAAAGCCAUUAAUGUAUAUAAGGCCUCAUGUUUAAAUGUAAUUUAUUACCAAGUAUCUGGAAAUCCAUUUGUAUUGUGCAGCAAUUACCGGUUUAAUAACAAAAGCUUUUUUUUCAAUGGAAAUCACAGAAUUCGAAUUCUGGUAACAAUCACAUAUGUUGGGUGCUUAAUUUGAAUCAACAGGUUUAUGUACGUCUGUGCUAAAGGUAUUUAAUUAAACAUUAAAAGAAAAUUUCACCCUGAAAUGUGUACAUUCCCCAUUUAUUUGUUAUAUAUCAUUAAUGAUUCGUUUCAAGAUGUGCUACUCACAGAUAGGAAGUGUCAACUGACCAAGGUUCAUGACGUCUAAAUAAAAUCAGUAUCUUGGUGAUAGUGUU